UACAACUUUCAACAAUGGAUCUCUUGGUUCUCGCAUCGAUGAAGAACGCAGCGAAUUGCGAUAUGUAAUGUGAAUUGCAGAAUUCAGUGAAUCAUCGAAUCUUUGGACGCACCUUGCGCCCUUUGGUAUUCCGAAGGGCAUGCCUGUUUGAGUGUCAUUAAAUUCUCAACUUCAACACUUUUUUGUAUUGAAGCUUGGAUGUUGGAGGGUCUUGCGGGCAUAUAUUAAUGUCAGCUCCUCUUAAAUGCAUUAGCAGAACCUGUGUUCGGCUCUGGUUUGAUAAUCCUAUCUAUGCCAUUGCUGAAAUGUCAUUGUUCAGCUUCUAAUGGUCCAUUGG
rnacentral:rRNA from 1 species